CCCACCAUCCUAGAUGAUGAUCCUACCACCAAAAAUACAAACCACUCCCACUCUCUCUAUAUAACCACCACCUCUUCCCCAUUCCUAACUCCGAGAAAAAACAAUUAGGCCUUUCAUUCUCUCUUUCCACCCAAGAGGAGAAGAAUCCCAAUCUGUUUUCUAUCCCAAAAACAUAUAUCCUAUAUACAAACAAACAUAAUUUCCUCAUAUUCGCCCUUAUCUUGCUGGGUUUUUUUCAAAUAUGGCCCCUCAACAUGUUUCCGCCGGAAUUAAGGCAGUUGACUCCGCCAAACCGGCCGCCCUGCCAAACAGGGCUUAUGUCACUUUCUUGGCGGGCAACGGGGAUUAUGUUAAAGGCGUUGUCGCCCUAGCUAAGGGGUUGAGGAAGGUGAAAUCCGCUUACCCUCUUCUGGUGGCUGUGCUGCCUGAUGUCCCCGCCGACCACCGCCGCCUAUUGCUAGACCAGGGCUGCAUCGUCAGGGAGAUUGACCCCAUUUACCCGCCGGAGAACCAAACGCAGUUUGCCAUGGCGUAUUACGUCAUCAACUACUCCAAACUCCGUAUCUGGGAGUUUGUGGAAUACAAGAAGAUGGUGUACUUGGAUGGUGAUAUCCAAGUGUAUGAUAACAUAGAUCAUCUGUUUGAAUUGGAGGACGGGUAUUUCUAUGCGGUGAUGGAUUGUUUCUGUGAGAAGACAUGGAGCCACACCCCCCAAUACAAACUUGGCUAUUGCCAGCAGUGUCCGGAAAAGGUGAGAUGGCCAUCAGAGAUGGGCCAUCCACCUGCUCUUUACUUCAAUGCUGGCAUGUUUGUGUUUGAGCCCAAUAUAUCUGUUUAUGAGAAGCUCUUGUACACUCUCAAAAUCACCCCUCCCACUCCUUUUGCUGAGCAGGAUUUUUUGAACAUGUUCUUUAAGGACAUCUACAAACCGAUUCCAAAUGUGUACAAUCUAGUUCUUGCCAUGUUAUGGCGGCAUCCGGAGAAUGUUGAGCUUGACCAAGUCAAAGUUGUUCACUAUUGUGCGGCGGGCUCGAAGCCGUGGAGGUACGCCGGAACGGAAGACAACAUGCAAAGAGAAGACAUAAAAAUGCUGGUCAAGAAGUGGUGGGACGUCUACAAUGACGAAAGUUUGGACUCCAAGAAACCAGUGGUGCACAAUGAUGGAGCUAUGGAAUCGGGGACGUUGCAGCCUUUGAUUGCAGCAGCUAUGACUGAAGCCAAUGCCCCAGCUGUGAAAUAUGUUGCGGCCCCUUCUGCUGCUUAACACCCCAGCUGUGUGUGGUAUGUUGCGUCCCCUUCGGCUGCAUAACACCCAGGAGGUGGCUGUACCAGAGCUCGUGUAUAUGUUAGAGAAAAAGAAAAAAAAAACGGGAAAAAAGGGCAAUCUUUUGGCUUUCCCAAUUCUUCGGAGGAGAAACAUGGCUAUAAAGGGUCAUUGGAGGGCUAAAAGUUGUUGUAGUUUUGGUCUUUUGAUUAUUUUGGAUCGUUUGUUUAUCCAAUCAUGUAAUUGGAAAUCAACCGGUUGCUGCUAAUUCUAAGACUAGAAACUAGGGGCAAUAUGGAGGCAGGAGACCUUUGGAACUGUUAAAUGAUUUGAACAUUUCUGUACCGUCUGCCGGGUUGAUGUUUAAACAAAAAUAUAGAGCAAUAUGAUGUUGGGCAUAGCGGGCAAUGACACACGGAGGACCACAACUCGUCUAGGUGCAUGUUCCAAGGCUUUCUUUUAGGUAUACUAUUUAACUAAUCACUCUCAGUCAUAGUGAACAUCAGAAGCUUCUAACCAUCAAGGAAAAGAACAAUCAGAUUCUCUAACCUGAAACUGUUCCAUGCUAUCAUCACUAUGCAUUUACUAACUUCUGAACAAGUUAAUUGGUUCAUUUUAACAAUCAUUGACUUUUUAAGUUCAAAACCAAUUGUAAAUCGUUUGUCUCCUACUAGCCAUCUCAACAGAGCAAGGGCGAGCCAGCAAUUCUUAUAAUUAAGCAUCAUGGACUAUGUAAAAGUUUAAGAAUGCCCUCAAAGUGAAAGCAUUGUAACCUGAAUGUAAGCUCAUUGCCAAGUAUGGUCCUAAGCUCACAAAAUAAGGAGAGGCCAUGAAGUUUGACAAAAAUCUACAAUUUAUUGAGAACUGCAAGGGAAAGAUGACAAUGUUUCUUAACAGGAGUCAAAAUAUGAUAAUGUUUCGUAAAAGGAGUCAAAAUAUGACGGUUUCUUAAAAGGAGUCAUGGAAGACACAUAAA